GGUUUAGUUAAGUCAGAUGUAGAAACGGCCCGGGGCUACCAACCGUACGGUAAUUGCUAUUUAGAAACGUGGACAAACUAGAGUACUGUAGGAGGGGGUAGAAUUUCAGGUGUAGCGGUGAAAUGCGUAGAGAUCUGAAGGAAUACCGGUGGCGAAGGCGGCCCCCUGGACAGAUACUGACACUCAGAUGCGAAAGCGUGGGGAGCAAACAGGAUUAGAUACCCUGGUAG
rnacentral:rRNA from 1 species